AGGAUCAUUGAUCUCUCAAACUUUAAAAUCACAACGAUACAGAGAAGAUUAGCAUGGCCCCUGCGCAAGGAUGACACGCAAAAUAGUGAAGCGUUCCGUAUUUUU